GUGGGGAAUAUUGGACAAUGGGGGGAACCCUGAUCCAGCCAUGCCGCGUGUGUGAAGAAGGCCUUUUGGUUGUAAAGCACUUUAAGCGAGGAGGAGGCUACCGAGAUUAAUACUCUUGGAUAGUGGACGUUACUCGCAGAAUAAGCACCGGCUAACUCUGUGCCAGCAGCCGCGGUAAUACAGAGGGUGCAAGCGUUAAUCGGAUUUACUGGGCGUAAAGCGCGCGUAGGUGGCCAAUUAAGUCAAAUGUGAAAUCCCAGAGCUUAACUUGGGAAUUGCAUUCGAUACUGGUUGGCUAGAGUAUGGGAGAGGAUGGUAGAAUUCCAGGUGUAGCGGUGAAAUGCGUAGAGAUCUGGAGGAAUACCGAUGGCGAAGGCAGCCAUCUGGCCUAAUACUGACACUGAGGCGCGAAAGCAUGGGGAGCAAACAGGAUUAGAAACCCCUGUAGUCC
rnacentral:rRNA from 1 species